UCCAAGCUUUAAAUGCUAGGAAUGUUGUUGGAUUAACCCAGUUGAGGUUUGAAACCCAACAACUUGAUUUGAUAGGAAGGUGAUUGGAUUAGGCUUUAAAAAAAAUAUCUUGAGUGCAUUAAGGUUCUGGAGGGCAGUUGGGAUAAGGAUCUGAGGAUUUUACUUCUUGUGUACUGGUCAAUUACUUUUGAAAGAAGAAGAGUUAAAAGCUGAGAACCAAAUCCAAGGCAUCAAUCAUAAACUCAUUCUCACUCACUCAUACACUCCCUCUUGGCUUUAUCUUCUCUUCGUUGAUGCAUUUAAUGGAAAGAGCCCUCUUUAGAAAUAGAAAAAAGUAGAUCAAAGGGAGGAAUACUAAUAAUAACAAUAAUAAUCAUAGAUUUUUUAAUAUGGAUAGAAAAUCAUUUAAAUUGUUUACUUGAUAAGCCUUGUGAUGUUAUGUAGUGAUUAAGUGUGGGAGAUUGUAACAAAAAUAAUUUUGUAUUUCAUUCUAUUAUGACAAAGAUUAUAUGAUCAAAUCAAAAUAAAAAUCUAACACUGAUUUCUGUGC
rnacentral:lncRNA from 1 species